CAAUAGCGUAUAUUAAAGUUGUUGCGGUAAAAAAGCUCGUAGUUGGAUUUUUGUUGAGAGCGACCGGUCCAUACCAUGUAUGCGUAUCUGGCUUGCUCUCGGCAUCCUCUCGAUAGACGUUACUGCGCUUGAUUGCGUGGUGCGGAUCUCGGGACUUUUACUUUGAGGAAAUUAGAGUGUUCACGGCAGGCUUUCGCCAGAAUACAUUAGCAUGGAAUAAUACUAUAGGAUCUUGGUUCUAUUUUGUUGGUUUCUAGAAUUGAGAUAAUGAUUAAUAGGGACAAUUGGGGGCAUUCGUAUCAACACGUCAGAGGUGGAAUUCUUGGAUUGUGUUGCGACGAACUACUGCGAAAGCAUUUGCCAAGGAUGUUUUCAUUGA
rnacentral:rRNA from 1 species